GGGAGGCAGCAGUGAGGAAUUUUCUGCAAUGGGUGAAAGCCUGACAGAGCAAUACCGCGUGGAGGAUGAAGGGUUUUGGCCUGUAAUCUCCUUUUCUCAUUGAAGAAAAUUUGACGGUAUUUGAGGAAUAAGCAUCGGCUAAUUUCGUGCCAGCAGCCGCGGUAAUACGAGAGAUGCGAGCGUUAUCCGGAAUUAUUGGGUGUAAAGCGUCUGUAGGUGGUCGAGUGUGUUUAAUGUUAAAGAUUAAAGCUUAACUUUAAAAAGGCAUUAAAAACUACUGGACUUGAGUAUGAUAGAGGUAAAGGGAAUUCCCAGUGUAGCGGUGAAAUGCGUAGAGAUUGGGAAGAACACCAAUGGCGAAAGCACUUUACUAGGUUAAUACUGACACUGAGAGACGAGAGCUAAGGGAGCAAACAGGAUUAGAUACCCUGGUAU
rnacentral:rRNA from 1 species